rnacentral:misc_RNA from 1 species
UUUCCGUAGGUGAACCUGCGGAAGGAUCAUUCAUAAUAAGUGUUUUAUGGCACUUUCUUAAAUCCAUAUCCACCUUGUGUGCAAUGUCAGGGUUGGUCUCUUUUGAGCAGCCCCAAACAUCAGCUAAUAUCUCAACUCUAUGUCUGAAAAAUAUUAUGAAUAAAACAAUUCAAAAUACAACUUUCAACAACGGAUCUCUUGGCUCUC